rnacentral:misc_RNA from 1 species
GUAAAAACAUGAAGCAAAUUUUCUUAGUUUUUUAAAAACGAAAUUGCAUUUUGUUGAGACCCACAAAUGGUACCGCCAUCGUCAUGAACAGCGCGUUGGUACGUACGUUUUUGUUGUGUGUGUUGCUGAGUGGUAGCGCGCGUCCAUGUGCAUUUCUUCGGCGGCAUGUUCGCGUACGUUCGUUUCCGCGACGACAACGAAAAGCGAAUCGUCCCAGUGGCUGCAUGUAAACACCUCAAGCCGAACGAUACGAGCGAUUUUAAUCCUCGCAAAUGGUACAAAGUCUUCUGGAAAGAUGAAACACACUGCGACCACUACCACGCUCAAGUGAUUAGGCCUUACGCUACCGAGGACGAUGCAGGGAAGGCUACCGAAAAACGAACUUCCAUUCCGCAAAGACCUGGCAGCGACUCCUCCUAUAGCUGCAGUUUUCUCCCCCCCCCUUUUUUUUUCACUCACACAUCCUACUGCCGCACGAUUCGUGGCCGAUCCCCCGUGGUGGGUUGUGCCAUUCCUCUAGGAUCAACCAACCAAUCAAAUGAAGUGGAUGGAUCGUUUGAAGAACGUCAAGCUGCUGUUAAACAGAAAAUGAAGGAUGUGAGCAGCCAUUUUAAGAAGAAGCAGCGAGACCUCCUGUUUGGUGAUGCUGAGGGCGGAAAAAAGACCGAGAAAGAACUUCUCAAAGAAGAAGUGAAUAUGCUGAAGGCCGAAAAUUCAAAACUCUUGGACCGAAUAAGAAUGCUCGAAAAGGCCCUAUGCAGCAAAAUUUUCAAAACAGAAAAAAACCUCGUUCUGUGCGAGGGCUGCAGCCGCAAGCCAGAACAACAAGUUGCGCCUUUGCCAUCGCCAUGUGCUGCCACGCACCACCACCAUGCAGCCGCCGCGCACCGCUACCGUGCAGCCACUGCGCACCACCACAGCGACCCCGGGCAGCCCUGAAGUGGCCCACACAAGUGCGAGGGAGGCCGAUUACGUGACCACUGACGGAGAGGUGCAUCUGGGCAAAGGAAUCACCAUUCCUGAGGGCCUGUACAGCCGCCUCAUGAGCACAAAAAGCGAAACCCGCUUUGUUCGUGAGGCGGCCGUUGCCAUUUAUUCAACGGCAGGCUUGGUUGGGCGGAGUGUAAUUGGAACAGCCUCUAACCGGACAAAGGGAGAGGCAAAACCUCCCUUGGAUAAAGAAAAAUACGCUGUGCUUUCUGAUUUCUUCAACCAUUUUUUGAAAAGCAUUUUCCAAUUGGAGA